rnacentral:lncRNA from 1 species
ACUUCCAUGGGCACCAGGCAUGCACGUGGUGUGCAUACAUACAGGCAGACAAUUUUAAAAAUUCACAACAUCCAGGGUUUGAGCUGUAUUAGUGAAGGAAACUAUAUACCACAGUGAAGGAGGUAUAUACCACUCUGCUCUGCAUACUGGACUGUACUCUCUGUAACUCAGAUUGGGACAUGGACAUGGUCACCAGAGUCAACACUCUGGCCACUUUGAGCUGUCCAGGCAGCGUUGUCAGAUAGAAACACCAGUUCUCAGAGCCCUGCGCACAGUUACACAGUGGGAGCCUUCUGACACAAGGGCCCCUGGGAAACAGAUGCACGGUGAGUCUGAGGCUCUUGCUGCUCAGAGCAAGAGCCUUUUCCCGGGCAUCUUCCCACCCAGCACAGAGAAAGUUCCAGGAGAACCCUAGAACUCAAAUUCAGCAGAAGGACAUGCUGUGGACAGUAAAAGAGUAAUUUUGGAUUGAAGCGAUCUGUUUUUUAAAACAGGCUUUAAUUUAAUCUACUAACUUCAUUUAUUUUUAAUUACCUCUUUUACUUUUUGAAAUUACAGUAUAAUUACAUCAUUUUCAUCCCUCCAAACCUUCCCAUAUAUUCCUCUUUGCUCUCUUUCCAAUUCAUGGCCUUUUAUAGAUAUAUAUGUAUUCCUAAGUACAGAAAUACAACCUGCUGAGUCUGUAUAAGUGUAACUUUUAUGUAUGUUUACAGAGCUGGCCAUUUGGUGUAGGAUAAUCAGUUUGUGUGCUCUUCCCUGGAGAAGACUAUUUCCCUCCCUCUCAGCAUUCCUUAGUUGCCUGUAGUUCUGCAUGUAGGGUUGAAGCCUCGAGGGCUUUCCUCCAUUUGUAUUCUGUUGUCCUUGUUCAGCUCAUACUCAGGCAGUCAUGUUAACAAGAAUGCAUGAGUGUAGCUUCUGACAUUACUAGGGAACUCAGAACAAUCUCCUUGUCUUCUGACUCUUUCAAUCUUUCUGUCCCCUCUUCCAAAAUGUUCCCUGAUCCUCAGGUACAGGAGUGUUUUGUAGAAGUAUCCAUUGAGACUGGGAUCCCCAACUCUGCCUUUUGGUUGUUUGUGGUUUUCUACUGUAGUCUCUGCUGCAAAGAGAAGUUUCCUUGAUAAGGGAUGAAAACUACACUCACCUGUGGGCAUAAAGACAAAUGUUUAUAGAUUGUUGUUAGGGAUUGUGUUGGUUUAGUAGUGGGCGGAUGUAGGUUCUCCUCCAAGAUCCAUAACUUCACUAGCCCCAGAUAAUUGGUUAGGUUUCCAGCACUAGGUGGAAAGACCUAAAGUCCAGACCUUAAGUCCAACUAGAGAGCUGUUGGUUACCCCCAGGUGUACGUGCCGCUACCUCAGCCUUAGGGUUACUGUGCCACGCUGGUCAUUGAUGUGGUUCACUGGCAUCAUAGCUAGGUAGGAUUGUUGGGUCUCUCAUAUGGAAGUUUUCGUGGUAUCUUAUGGUACCAUAAAAGCUAGUCCUCAGGGAAGAGACUUCAUGUCAGUUCCAGCUCAAGGGCCUCGGGGUCUUGUGUCUAAAGUGCACCAUGACAUCAGCAACAGGGUCUUCUCUCCUAGCUUUGGUUUAACCAGGGAAAUGCCAAUAGCUUGAAAUUUGGGGGAGUUUCUUGAAUAGCCUUGAUCAACACAACUC